GACGAACGCUGGCGGCGUGCUUAACACAUGCAAGUCGAGCGGUAAGGCCCUUUCGGGGGUACGACGAGCGGCGAACGGGUGAGUAACACGUGGGUGACCUGCCCUCAGCUCUGGGAGUAAGCCUGGGAAACCGGGUCUAAUACUGGAUAUGACUCCAUGACGCAUGUUGUGGGGUGGAAAGCCUUGUGCGGCUGAGGAUGGGCCCGCGGCCUAUCAGCUUGUUGGUGGGGUGAGGCCUACCAAGGCGACGACGGGUAGCCGGCCUGAGAGGGCGACCGGCCACACUGGGACUGAGACACGGCCCAGACUCCUACGGGAGGCAGCAGUGGGGAAUCUUGCGCAAUGGGCGAAAGCCUGACGCAGCGACGCCGCGUGAGGGAUGACGGCCUCGGUU
rnacentral:rRNA from 1 species